AGGCUCUGAUGCUGUUCUCUGAAAGCGGUGAAAGGUCAUCAGUGCCGCCACCGAGCGUCAUCUGAAUUGCUGCAUUAAGCGUUGACAGCCGGCUUUCACGUCAGACCGCCAAGUUAUUGAACUGGAGGCUGAAUGAGGUCAAACUGCAAAGAGAAGAAUCCGCUCAAAGUGAAGAGUGGAACUGUCAGCAGACAGCAACAGUGCCACCUGCUGGCGGAGCCACGCAAGGAGCCUGGGCCCCACAAAUGGUUGCAUCGAGCAGUUUGCAGGGCGGUGAGUGGCUCAUCGGCGGCAGCGACUCCCCUUCCUCUCCUCAUCGAUGAGUCCAGGCGUAGAUCCACACGCCACUGUCUCAGAGCUGCAUCCGUGUGCUGAGCGGCGGCGUACUGAUCCUCAUGCUGAGAGGUCAGAAGUCAGAGAGGACGGACGCCAAAAUCCUACCAACCACAUCAAGGACGACCUUCAAAGCACAUUAAGCUAAGCCACGCCCAUUCUCCCUCCUUUUCUCUUUAAAACAUUUAUUCCAACAUUUCCAGUUUCAUACAUUCUCUCUGUAAACGCUUCAAAUUAAACUGAAUUUGUUCAAACACACAAAAUUGAAAAGUGGAGGAACUCCUCCAGAUCUGUUUUAUUUUGAAGCGAAAAAAUCGAUUGCGGCCGCUGACCUUCAGUGAUGGCUUUUACGACAGCAAACAUCGAAGGGAAAACGCCAGAAAUCCGGAACGUGUUUUUUAAAUUAGUGCAAAAACAAAACAAAAUUCUCAACAUUUUUAAAACGAUCGCUUUAGCACUUUCAGAGACAGAAGACGGAUCUGAAGUCUUUUGUUGAGUUUACGUGACACAUAUGAUUUAGAUUUUUGGGGCUAAAAGUUUAGGCUGAAUGGAAGCGUAUUGCAUUCAACAACAAAAAAAAAAGUUUCAUGUAUUAAAAAAAAGGGUGAUCUUCGUUCAAAUCUUUUGUGUGAUCUUUGUUCUAAUAUUUUCAAGAACUCCAAACAGACUAGAAGAUGAGCUGCAAUUAAAAGUUGAAAAUCCACAACCUGUCCGUGUCACACACAGUUUAGUUUAUGUGCUCGUCUGUUUUGUUCUUCCUACUGACUUUAUCCACUAAAGAUGACAGAGUAAAACAUGAGUAAAUUAUUAAUUAUUGACCAGUAUGAACCGUUCUGUUUCUGAGUUAAUCCGAUGACAACAUCGGGAACAAAGCAGGGAACUCCGUAGAUGAUCUGCUGGAUGAUCACGCUGUGGGUGUGGUCAACUUCACUGUAAUGUUUUCAGAAUUCGCUAUACUUUUUUUUUCUGAAUUUGCUCUCAUUUUUUCUAGAACUACAACAGUUGUAGUCCUAAAGCGAGGAGAUGAGGACACGUCUAAAACUUGCAUGACUCAAACACGCUGCUUCACUCUGAGAGAAAAAGGAAGGAUAUUAGAGAUUUCUGUAGGGUUUGUUUGAACAACAACAUCUUCUUGUGAUGUUUUAGAGAUUAUUUGUGGUGAGUCCCUGAGAAACUGCUGUUGUUUGUCUGGGGUGUUUUCGUGUACUUUAUUGACGGUCCCUGCCUGCCUCUGCAGCUUCACAUUAGGGCAAAGGGUGUUUUCUGCAUCACCACAGACACAAACAAACAGCUCAUACUGGUCAAAAGAACUACAUCCAACAUUUUUCUCUGUCAUUUUUGUGGAUAAAGUAAGUAGGAAGAGCAAAACAUACGGACGAUACAAUGACGAACACAUAAACUAAACAGAUCAUGUCUAUGACACGGACACUGUGGAUUUUCUACUUUCAAUCGCAGCUCAUCUCCUAGUUUUCAUGAGCAGAUGAGGUCGGUUCCCAGCCUGUUUGGAGUUCUUUGCUUUUGUGGUUCUUGAAAAUAUUAGAACGAAAAUCACGGAAAAAGAUUUGAACAAAGAUCCCCCAUUUUUUGUUGUUGUUUGUCUUCUGUAGGAGCCAUGAAUGUGAUUGUAGUUCACCUUACUGCCAGUAGGGAGAUUCUGUAUGUAAGGGAACACGUCACAGUGUUUGUCAGGUGUUUUGGCCCGGAAGGGCAAAGGGUUUUGACCGCAGUACCGCACGAGCGUAAGAACGCAGGCUGGUCAAUGUCACAUGCAAGUAUGUAUGCAAAAUGACAGAAAAUAAAUGUCAAUGUGUCGCCAUACAAAUGAGAGUGGACAUUAAAUGACUGGAGCAAACAGAUGCGCGUCAACCUCACCCUGAGUCAAAACAAUCUCAGUAGCUGAGUUGUAGGCUUAGCUCCUUCAUCUUCCUUUGAUUAAUUUAAGAAUGGAAUGGAAUGCGAUACGCUUCCAUAAGACCGAGGCUUUUAAUGAUUAAUAAUUUAUUCGUUUUUUUUUUACAACAGUGCUAUGUCCCUUUGACAAUCCCAAAAGUACAAUCAAUGUAAAGCUAAAUAAAAUUUCUAAGAUGCCAAAAACUGAGCUUUGAUCAAAUAAAAGUUCUGAAUUUUCGGUGAAACAUCCAGGUUUGUACCAUCAACGCUGAAGAAAAGAGACGAGCAUCAAUACCAACAUAUAUACCAACAAUAUUAACGUACAAGUGCCAAACAUAAUCAGACUCCUUCCUAAAGGCAACUGUAGCUAGAUAGCUUGACCUCAACAACAGAAAUGAUACAUUCAGUUCUUAGCUAGCUGAAGAAAAAAUAUGACAAAUUAGCUCGACAAUGCUGAAAACAAAUUUAACUGUAUUGUAUGGAGAGAUUUUUGUGCCAUUAUUCCAGUGCAAUACUGACUUUUGAGCGUAAAACUUUUGUGUGCUCAAAAAAUUAUUUUGCUCUUGACGGUUGAUGCUGAUGGAUUAGAAAUUCUUCCAAUCGCGCACAAACCAGAUCCAGUCUGCGAACUGAUUGUAGAAGAAUUUCUGACCAGUCAGCAUUAAUGUUCAUGUCCAUGUCUGUGAUUGGCUGGCUUUUGAGGCUCAUUUGUAAGUGCAUUUAUCUCUUUCAAGUGCAACUUAAUUUUUGGAGUACACAAACGCCCAAAACAAUGAGUGUUGCAUUGAAAUAAUGGCACAAAAAGUGUUCCAUACAUUCCUAACUGCAACUAUGGCUAAAAAGCUUAACGUCAACAACAGAAAUGCUACAUUCAAUGCUAAGCUAGCUGAAGAAAAUACAUGACAGCUGAAAUUAGCUCAACAAUGCUGAAAAAAUUAAAGUAAGAAAGUAAAAUAAAUGUUGUAAAAGCUACUUAAAAAUCUUAAAUAAAUAAAUAUAAAGAUGAGCAACUUAAACCUAAAAAAUAUUUCUAAAAUGCUGAACACUUUGUUUUGAUGAAAGGGAAGUUCUGAAUCAUCUACUAAAAGUUUAGAUUUAUUCCAUCAAAAGAAGAGAGAGCUGAACAUCAGCAGAACCUGAAAAAAACAAAAAUCAGACUCAGACUCACAGUUGUAUGCAAAUUAAGCUAAAAAGCUCGAUGUCAAUAACAGAAAUGCUACAUUUAGUGCUAAGCUAGCUGAGGAAAAUACAUGAAAGCUGAAAUUAGCUCAACAAUGCUCAAAAAGUUAAAUUACUAAACUAAAAAUA
ensembl:lncRNA